UGCAAGUCGUACGAGGGUUUUUAACUUUAGUGGCGGACGGGUGAGUAACACGUGAGAAUUUGCCUUUAGGAGGGGGAUAACAAUCGGAAACGAAUGCUAAUACCCCAUAUGCUUUUGAGAGAAAUGGAUUUAUCCGCCUAAAGAGAAGCUCGCGGCUGAUUAGCUUGUUGGUAAGGUAAGAGCUUACCAAGGCGACGAUCAGUAUCUGGUUUGAGAGGACGAUCAGACACACUGGAACUGAGACACGGUCCAGACUCCUACGGGAGGCAGCAGUGGGGAAUUUUCCGCAAUGGGCGAAAGCCUGACGGAGCAAUACCGCGUGAGGGAAGACUGCCUAUGGGUUGUAAACCUCUUUUUUCAGGGAGGAAUAAAUUGACGUGUACCUGAAGAAUAAGCAUCGGCUAACUCCGUGCCAGCAGCCGCGGUAAGACGGAGGAUGCAAGUGUUAUCCGGAAUCACUGGGCGUAAAGCGUCUGUAGGUGGUUUAAUAAGUCAACUGUUAAAUCUUGAGGCUCAACUUCAAAAUCGCAGUCGAAACUAUUAGACUAGAGUAUAGUAGAGGUAAAGGGAAUUUCCAGUGGAGCGGUGAAAUGCGUAGAUAUUGGAAAGAACACCAAUGGCGAAAGCACUUUACUGGGCUAUUACUAACACUCAGAGACGAAAGCUAGGGUAGCAAAUGGGAUUAGAUACCUCAAUAGUC
rnacentral:rRNA from 1 species